GACGAACGCUGGCGGCGUGCUUAAUACAUGCAAGUCGAACGGAAAGGCCCUGCUCUUGUGGGGUGCUCGAGAGGCGCAGGGGUGAGUAACACGCGAGUAUCCCGCACUUGUAUUUGGGAUAUAUUUAGGAAAAUGGGGCUCAUAUCGGAUAGGAGCUACUGAUGCACGGUGGGGGUUGGUAAGUUUCGGCGGUUGGGGAUGGUCUCGCGGCUUACCAGCUUGUUGGUGGGGUAGUGGAUUUCCAAGGCUUUGACGGGUAGCCGGCCUGAGAGGGUGACCGGCGACAUUGGGACUGAGAGACGGCCCAGACUCCUACGGUAGGCAGCAGUGGGGAAUAUUGCACAAUGGGCGGAGGCCUGAUGCAGCAACUCCGCGUGCGGGAUAACGGCCUUCGUGUUGUAAACCGCUUUCGCCUGUAACGAAGCGUGAGUGACGGUAAUGUGUAAAGAAGCACCGGCUAACUACGUG
rnacentral:rRNA from 1 species